rnacentral:rRNA from 2 species
GUAGGGCGGGACACGUGGUAUCCUGUCUGAAUAUGGGGGGACCAUCCUCCAAGGCUAAAUACUCCUGACUGACCGAUAGUGAACCAGUACCGUGAGGGAAAGGCGAAAAGAACCCCGGCGAGGGGAGUGAAAAAGAACCUGAAACCGUGUACGUACAAGCAGUGGGAGCACCUUCGGGUGUGACUGCGUACCUUUUGUAUAAUGGGUCAGCGACUUAUAUUCUGUAGCAAGGUUAACCGUAUAGGGGAGCCGCAGGGAAACCGAGUCUUAACUGGGCGUUAAGUUGCAGGGUAUAGACCCGAAACCCGGUGAUCUAGCCAUGGGCAGGUUGAAGGUUGGGUAACACUAACUGGAGGACCGAACCGACUAAUGUUGAAAAAUUAGCGGAUGACUUGUGGCUGGGGGUGAAAGGCCAAUCAAACCGGGAGAUAGCUGGUUCUCCCCGAAAGCU